rnacentral:rRNA from 1 species
UACGUAGGUGGCAAGCGUUGUCCGGAAUUAUUGGGCGUAAAGCGCGCGCAGGCGGUCCUUUAAGUCUGAUGUGAAAGCCCACGGCUCAACCGUGGAGGGUCAUUGGAAACUGGGGGACUUGAGUGCAGAAGAGGAAAGCGGAAUUCCACGUGGUAGCGGUGAAAUGCGUAGAGAUGUGGAGGAACACCAGUGGCGAAGGCGGCUUUCUGGUCUGUAACUGACGCUGAGGCGCGAAAGCGUGGGGAGCAAACAGG